CAAAAUAUUGGCCGCAUGGACAAGUACAUGAAGCAUGCCUACACACUAGCCAUAUUGUUGGCCCUUCUUGUCAUGUACUUUGCUACCCAUACACAGUGCGCUUUCAUAGAAGAUGUGGAUAACAAGAAGAUUAAUUUGCCUUCUGGACUAUGCAGUCAUAAUGGAUCGGUUUGUCACUUAGGGUAUUGCUUCUGCUGUUUGCUAACCAACCAGUGCUAUACGUCAGUGGACGAUUGCAGGACUGAGUGUAAAAAAUCAUCUUAUUCAGACACAGUAGCGGCUGCAAACAAUACUCGUUAGUAGGGUUGAUUGUAAAAAAAUCAUCUUACUCGGGCAUAGUAGCUGCUGCAAACAAUACACAUUUGAUGUUCCUGGAUGAGCAAUCAAUGUCGAAUAAAAGGCAGUAUUAUAGUUGUUGUAAAAUA